GUCGAGCGGUGAGGGAGCUUGCUCCUGGAUUCGACGGCGGACGGGUGAGUAAUGCCUGGGAGUCUGCCUGGUAGUGGGGGAUAACUUCCGGAAACGGGCGCUAAUACCGCAUACGUCCUGAGGGAGAAAGUGGGGGAUCUUCGGACCUCACGCUAUCCGAUGAACCUAGGUCGGAUUAACUAGUUGGUGGGGUAAAGGCCUACCCAGGCGACCAUCCAUAACUGGUCUGAGAGGAUGAUCAAUCACACUGGAACUGAGACACAGUCCAGACUCCUACCGGAGGCAGCAGUGGGGAAUAUUGGACAAUGGGCGAAAGCCUGAUCCAGCCAUGCCGCGUGUGUGAAGAAGGUCUUCGGAUUGUAAAGCACUUUAAUUUGGGAGGAAGGGCAGUAAGUUAAUACCUUGCUGUUUUGACGUUACCUACCCAAUAAGCACCGGCUAACUUCGUGCCAGCCGCCGCGGUAAUACGAAGGGUGCGAGCGUUAAUCGGAAUUACUGGGCGUAAAGCGCGCGCAGGUGGUUCGUCAAGUUGGAUGUAAAAUCCCCGGGCUCAACCUGGGAACUGCAUCCAAAACUACUGAGCUAGAGUACGGUAGAGGGAGGGUGGGAAUUUCCUGUGUAGCGGUGAAAUGCGUGCGAUAUAGGAAGGAACGCACACUGGCGAAGGCGACCACCUGCCACUGAUACUGACACUGAUGUGCGAAAGCGUGCGUGAGCAAACAGGAUUGAGAUACAUCUCCCUAGUCCACGCACGUACACGAUGUCGACUAGCUGGUCGGGAGCCAUCCAGAUCUUACUGCCUGCAGCUAACGCACAUAAUCGACCGCCUGGCUGAGUACGUACCGCAGCGUUGAAUACUCAAAUGAAUUGAUGGGGGGCG
rnacentral:rRNA from 1 species